rnacentral:rRNA from 1 species
GUCUAUGGCCGUACCACCCUGAACGUGUCCAAUCUCGGAAGCUAAGCGGGGUCGGGCCUGGUUACUUGGGUAACCAGUACUUGGGCGGGAGACA